GACGAACGCUGGCGGCGUGCUUAACACAUGCAAGUCGAACGGAAAGGCCCUGCUUUUGUGGGGUGCUCGAGUGGCGAACGGGUGAGUAACACGUGAGUAACCUGCCCUUGACUUUGGGAUAACUUCAGGAAACUGGGGCUAAUACCGGAUAGGAGCUCCUGCUGCAUGGUGGGGGUUGGAAAGUUUCGGCGGUUGGGGAUGGACUCGCGGCUUAUCAGCUUGUUGGUGGGGUAGUGGCUUACCAAGGCUUUGACGGGUAGCCGGCCUGGGAGGGGGACCGGCCACAUGGGGACUGAGGUACGGCCCAGACUCCAACGGGAGGCAGCAGUGGGGAAUAUUGCACAAUGGGCGGGAGCCUGAUACAGCAACGCCGCGUGCGGGAUGACGGCCUUCGGGUUGUAAACCGCUUUCGCCUGUGACGAGGCGUGAGUGACGGUAAUGGGUAAAAAAGCACCGGCUAACUACGUG
rnacentral:rRNA from 1 species